rnacentral:rRNA from 1 species
CCUACGGGUGUCAGCAGUGAGGAAUAUUGGUCAAUGGGCGAGAGCCUGAACCAGCCAAGUCGCGUGAGGGAUGACGGUCCUAUGGCUUGUAAACCUCUUUUGUAGGGGAACAAAGACGUCCACGUGUGGACUGGUGAAUGUACCCGACGAAAAAGCAUCGGCUAACUCCGUGCCCGCAGCCGCGGUCAUACGGAGGAUGCGGGCGUUAUCCGGAUUUAUUGGGUUUAAAGGGUGGGUAGGCGGACAGUAAAGUCAGCGGUAAAAAUUCGGUGCGCAACGCCGUACAGCCGUUGAAAUUGGCAGUCGUGAGGGGGCGAGAAGUAUGCGGAAUGCGUGGUGUAGAGGUGAAAUGCAUAGAUAUCACGCAGAACUCCGAUUGCGAAGGCAUCAUACCGGCGCCCUACUGACGCUGAGGCACGAAAGCGUGGGUAGCGAACAGGAUUAGAUACCCGAGUAGUC